GUCCAAAAAGAUGCACAUCUU
rnacentral:tRNA from 1 species